rnacentral:rRNA from 1 species
AGAACGAACGCUGGCGGCAGGCUUAACACAUGCAAGUCGAACGAACGUAGCAAUACGUUAGUGGCGCACGGGUGAGUAACGCGUGGAUAUCUGCCUUUUGGUUCGGGAUAACCUUGGGAAACCGGGGCUAAUACCGAAUGGUUCCUACGGGAUAAAGAUUUAUCGCCAAAAGAUGAGUCCGCGUCCGAUUAGCUAGUUGGUGAGGUAAUGGCUCACCAAGGCGACGAUCGGUAGCUGGUCUGAGAGGACGAUCAGCCACACUGGGACUGAGACACGGCCCAGACUCCUACGGGAGGCAGCAGUGGGGAAUAUUGGACAAUGGGGGCAACCCUGAUCCAGCCAUGCCGCGUGAGUGAUGAAGGCCUUCGGGUUGUAAAGCUCUUUUGGCGGGACGAUGAUGACGGUACCCGCAGAAUAAGCCCCGGCUAACUUCGUGCCAGCAGCCGC